GCAUGUCUUGUUUUCAAAGGAUGGUAAACGUCAGGAAUUGUGUGUUGCUGUUGGAGAUAGAGUAUUGUUACCAGAAUACGGUGGCACAAAGAUUUCUAUAGACGAUAAGGAAUAUCACCUAUUCAGAGAGGGCGACAUCCUUGCCAAGUACGAUUCAUGAAGACUGGUCUAGAAACGAAGAUGUAUUUAUACUUUCUAUAUUUCAAAAUAUAAUCAAGGUUAAAAAGACAUUCAGAACAUGGAAGAAAACAUGGGCGAGUGGUGAUGAUAACCUCUGUAAUGAAUCUAAAUCGACAGUUAUAUUAAGAAUACAUAGACCUAGAACAAAUAUGACUGAAAGUGCUGUAUUGUGAAAAAUAUAACUUUGGGACAGAUGUAUUUACAACUCUAUUCACAUUAAGGUUUUUUUGUGUGAUACUAUAUAGCCAUAUAUGGGCAUGAUGAUGCGAUAUUACAUCUGUUCCAUAUAUGGACAACACUGGUACUUGUCACAUAAAUGUUUUGUGUCUCAGAUCUUUAUGUAAAGGUGCUUCAGAUUUGGUUCCCAAAAAGUAAUGAUUGUUUAGCUUGUAACUACAAAGCAAUAACUUGAUUUCAUGAACAUAGUAACUACAAUUUUAAAUAAAAGGCUUAUACUGUAAAUCCAAAA